GGAAGCCAGUGCAGGCGUAAUGUGAUCAAACUUUUAAUGUGAUCGAGGGCGAGUUUCUUUUUUUUUUUUUUUUUAUAAAUAAAGUCAUGGCGCGGAGUCGAAGCCUCGUUUCCUCUGCGGCUGGAUCUGCGGACGCCUCCUCUGACAGCGCGCCAUAGCGUUCCUCCAUUGACAUCAUGCUCAGACACGUCCCCACUUGUGCUGAGCGCAGCACGCCCACGCAGAAACGAGCCUGCACACAAUCAGGAAUCAAAACACCUGGACUUGACGAGAGGGAGCGACAUAAAAGACCAGUGAAGCCGAGAGACCUUCGCCAGAACGUAGCCAAUCUCCCUUCAUGUUUUCUGUGAUCGUGUCCUGCCUCACGACCUCCUCCUGGAUCUUUGCUUGCCCUCCCCGAUCCUGGACCCCCGCUUGGAACCGGAAAUCGUUGCCUCUCUCCAGCCCCCGACCGCUUGGCUCACUGUUGACUGCCUCUUUGCCUUCCCCCUUGGAUUUGACGAAAGAUACAUCCAACACGCAAAGACAACACCCUCUGGUAAAUUCCACAUUGUUAUUUCCACACAUCGUCCGCAUUCAUUCUCCAGUAGUAGCAUCCACACCCCACACAUUCAUCAAAGGUUUUAAUAAACCUUCUAAAACCGCAGUUCA